rnacentral:rRNA from 1 species
GACGAACGCUGGCGGCGUGCUUAACACAUGCAAGUCGAACGGAAAGGCCCUGCUUUUGUGGGGUGCUCGAGUGGCGAACGGGUGAGUAACACGUGAGUAACCUGCCCUUGACUUUGGGAUAACUUCAGGAAACUGGGGCUAAUACCGGAUAGGAGCUCCUGCUGCAUGGUGGGGGGUGGAAAGUUUCGGCGGUUGGGGAUGGACUCGCGGCUUAUCAUCUUGUUGGUGGGGUAGUGGCUUACCAAGGCUUUGACGGGUAGCCGGCCUGCGAGGGUGACCGGCCACAUUGGGACUGAGAUACGGCCCAGACUCCUACGGGAGGCAGCAGUGGGGAAUAUUGCACAAUGGGCGGAAGCCUGAUGCAGCAACGCCGCGUGCGGGAUGACGGCCUUCGGGUUGUAAACCGCUUUCGCCUGUGACGAAGCGUGAGUGACGGUAAUGGGUAAAGAAGCACCGGCUAACUACGUG